UACGUAGGGUGCAAGCGUUGUCCGGAAUUAUUGGUCGUAAAGAGCUUGUAGGCGGUUUGUCGCGUCUGCUGUGAAAUUUCGGGGCUCAACCCCGAACUUGCAGUGGGUACGGGCAGACUAGAGUGUGGUAGGGGAGACUGGAAUUCCUGGUGUAGCGGUGAAAUGCGCAGAUAUCAGGAGGAACACCGAUGGCGAAGGCAGGUCUCUGGGCCACUACUGACGCUGAGAAGCGAAAGCAUGGGGAGCGAACAGG
rnacentral:rRNA from 1 species